AUUGAACGCUGGCGGCAUGCUUUACACAUGCAAGUCGAGCGGCAGCGCGGGGGCAACCCUGGCGGCGAGCGGCGAACGGGUGAGUAAUGCAUCGGAACGUACCCUGGAGUGGGGGGAUAACGCCGCGAAAGCGGCGCUAAUACCGCAUAUGCUCUGAGGAGGAAAGUGGGGGACCGCAAGGCCUCACGCUCUGGGAGCGGCCGAUGUCCGAUUAGCUAGUUGGUGGGGUAAAGCUUACCAAGGCGACGAUCGGUAGCUGGUCUGAGAGGAUGAUCAGCCACACUGGGACUGAGACACGGCCCAGACUCCUACGGGAGGCAGCAGUGGGGAAUUUUGGACAAUGGGGGCAACCCUGAUCCAGCCAUGCCGCGUGAGUGAAGAAGGCCU
rnacentral:rRNA from 1 species